rnacentral:rRNA from 1 species
AAGCUCGUAGUUGAAUUUCGGGGUUCUACCGUUGGUCGGGCUAACCAGUCUGUACUAGCGUGUAGAAUUCCUACCUUCUGGGGAACCAUCAUGUUAUUAAUUUAGCGUGGUGGGAAACCAGGACCUUUACCUUGAAAAGAUUAGAGUGUUCAAAGCAGGCUUACGUCUGAAUACAUUAGCAUGGAAUAAUAAAAUAGGACGGUGGUCCUGUUUUGUUGGUUUCUGAAUCACCGUAAUGAUUAAUAGGGAUAGUUGGG